GACGAAUGCUGGCGGCGUGCUUAACACAUGCAAGUCGAACGCUGAAGCUCAGCUUGCUGGGUGGAUGAGUGGCGAACGGGUGAGUAACACGUGAGUAACCUGCCCUCUUCUUUGGGAUAACGCCCGGAAACGGGUGCUAAUACUGGAUAUUCACUGAUUCUCGCAUGGGGGUUGGUGGAAAGGUUUUUUCUGGUGGGGGAUGGGCUCGCGGCCUAUCAGCUUGUUGGUGGGGUGAUGGCCUACCAAGGCUUUGACGGGUAGCCGGCCUGAGAGGGUGACCGGUCACAUUGGGACUGAGAUACGGCCCAGACUCCUACGGGAGGCAGCAGUGGGGAAUAUUGCACAAUGGGCGAAAGCCUGAUGCAGCGACGCCGCGUGAGGGAUGGAGGCCUUCGGGUUGUAAACCUCUUUCGCUCAUGGUCAAGCCGCAGCUUGGGGUUGUGGUGAGGGUAGUGGGUAAAGAAGCGCCGGCUAACUACGUG
rnacentral:rRNA from 1 species